UACGUAGGCAGCAAGCGUUGUUCGGAGUUACUGGGCGUAAAGGGUGUGUAGGCGGUUCUCUAAGUCUGGUGUGAAAUCUCCCGGCUCAACUGGGAGGGUGCGCCGAAAACUGGAGGACUAGAGUGCGGGAUGGGAGAGUGGAAUUCCUGGUGUAGCGGUAAAAUGCGUAGAUAUCAGGAGGAACACCUGUGGUGUAGACGGCUCUCUGGACCGCAACUGACGCUGAGACACGAAAGCGUGGGUAGCAAACAGG
rnacentral:rRNA from 1 species